rnacentral:lncRNA from 1 species
UCAACUUGCUCACCACACAGUCACAGCCCGUCUCUAGCCAGCCAUCUUAUCCAAGCCCUCCAUCGGCCCCUCCCUCCUAUAAAUUGGCUUGCUAUGCAUGCUAGUCCAUAUCAUCCAUCACACUAGCCACUAGAAGCACUGAGGAAGAGGGUGUCAAGCAUGGCGUCCAAGGGUCUUCUUGUGUUUGCUCUCCUGCUUGCUGCUGCUAUCCUCGUCGCCUCAACUGAACAAAGUAGUGAGCUAACGCGCUACUCAGAAUACUUUUGCACUAGCAUGAAUUGCCUGAUCGUCAAUUCGUUACUAGGUUAAGAAACUUGCUUUGCUAUGCUGCGUGCUGCUCCUAAUAUCCAUGCACCGUUUAUCUUCUGUUCAUGUAGAGGCCAAGAAGGAAGAGAAGAAAGCAGGCGUAGAGGGCUAUGGCGGCGGCGGCGGCUACCCUGGAGGAGGCGGGGGAGGCUACCCAGGCCACGGUGGAGGAGGAGGCGGCGGCUACCCGGGCCACGGUGGAGGCGGCGGCGGCGGCUACCCAGGACACGGUGGAGGAGGCGGCGGCGGCUACCCGGGACACGGUGGUAAAGGCGGUGGCGGCUACCCCGGACACGGCGGAGGCGGCGGUGGUGGCUACCCCGGACACGGCGGAGGCGGCAGUGGAUGUCACUGGGGCUGCUGCGGUCACGGGUACAAUGGCUGCCGCUGCUGUGCGCGCGCGGACGAGGUCCCUGAGCCCAUGUACCGCGCGGAGGUCCGCAACUGAGCGCUCGAGAUGCAGCCAUACGUGCGUGCGUACAAGGUAGUACAACUCUACGUGACAUUGCUCUGCACAGAUACACUUAUAGUAAGUUGCAGAGUUGCUGGUAAAUAUGGUCUCUGGUAAAUAAAGUGCGUACGAGAGCCCGGUUUGCACUUAAUUUGCACGGCGAUGAUCUUGGAGAAAUAACCCCUCUGUGUUAUUAUAUGUAUUAAUACCCCACUUUAUAUGUGUUCUCCAAGUAUGUAUUGUGGAAUAAAAUAACAGAGGAAUAUAUCCAAAGUUCUACAAGGUGCACUUAAUUCCUUCUAUAUGCCUUAUUUCAAUGCUGCAACCUGCAAUGAAAGAAAAGGAAAAAAUAACAGAAAGGUAUGGAUGACAUCAAUCAUGUAACAAUUAUACAGUAGAAUGACACAGAACUAGCUUCAAUUCAUCAAUAUAAUUUAGGCAUGUAUUUCUGUAUAUAGUGAUACGUGUUUGCGAGAAGAACCUGUAUGCCAUCUUUUGUCCUACUCUUCUGUGGCAGCGGGGUCCUAUUGGAAACUUAGGGAUAUUAAGGCCUCUUUUUAAUAAAGAACUGGAACAAAGCAUUAACACAUAGUAAAUACAUGACCUCCUUAUACUACGGCAACCGUCGGAAAGAAUCUCAAUUAUUGUGACCUUGGGGUAUGCGGAUCAAGACAUGUAAUAGGUGCAUGCAAUUUGCAAGAUAUGAUCUAAAAACUUUUCAUAUUCAAAGAGAACAUAAUAAGUUUAGGUCUGAAAUCAUGGCACACGGACCCUAGUGACAAGCAUUAAGCAUAGCAAAGUCAUAGCAACAUCAAUCUCAGAACAUAGUGGAUACUAGGGAUCAAGCCCUAUCAACUUAACUCGAUUACACGAUCAAUCUCAUCCAAAGCUCAUCACCAUCCAACGGGCCUACUAAGAAAUUACUCACUCCCGGUGGUGAGCAUCAUGGAAUUUUUUAUGGAGAAGGGUUGAUGAUGACGACGGAGCUUAAUCCCCCUCUAGAGCCCCAAACGGACUUCAGAUCAGCCCUCCCGAGGAAUAACAGGAGCUGGCGGUGGCUCCGUCUCGUAAAACAUGAUGAAAUGUUCUCCCUAAUUUUUUCUUCGAAGAUGUGAAUUUAUAGGACUGGAAUUAGGGUUGGAGGAGCCACAUGGGCCCCACAAGCCAUCCGGGCGUGCCUAGGGGGGUGGGCGUGUCCUAUUGGCUUGUGGCCCACAGGCAACCCCCAUCUGGUGGAUCUUCGGUCCAUAUUUUUUGAUAUAUUCCAAAAGUAAUUUUCACAAAAAGUUUCGUCCAAUUCCGGUAACUUUUAUUUCUGCACACAAAUAACAUCAAGGUAGUUGUGUUGAAAACAUCGUCAGUUCGGGUUAGUUUCGUUCAAAUCACGCAAAUUAGAUUCCAAAACCAGAGCAAAAGUAUUUCGAAAUGUAGAUACGUUGAAGACGUAUCACGUACCCCUGAUAACUUACGUGUGAAGUGUUGGGUAACAUAGUAGUAAUUCAAAAAAAUCCUACGCCAUACCAAGGUCUAUCUAUGAGAAACCAGCAACGAGAUAGGUUGUAGAGCAUCUUCAUACCUUUGAAGAUCGCUAAGCGGAAGCGUUACAAUGAACGCGGUUGAUGGAGUCGUACUCGCGGCGAUUCAAAUCGCGGAAGAUGCGAUCCAAGUGUCGAACGGACGGCACCUCCGCGUUUAACACACGUACAGUCCGGGGACGUCUCCUCCUUCUUGAUCCAACAAGGGAAGAACAGAAGUUAAGGGAGAGCUCCGGCAGCAUGACGACAUGGUGGCGGUGGAGCUCGUGGUUCUAUGGCAGAGCUUCGCUAAGCACUACGGAGGAGGAGGAGGUG